GAUGAACGCUGGCGGCGUGCCUAAUACAUGCAAGUCGAGCGAAUGGAUUAAGAGCUUGCUCUUAUGAAGUUAGCGGCGGACGGGUGAGUAACACGUGGGUAACCUGCCCAUAAGACUGGGAUAACUCCGGGAAACCGGGGCUAAUACCGGAUAACAUUUUGAACCGCAUGGUUCGAAAUUGAAAGGCGGCUUCGGCUGUCACUUAUGGAUGGACCCGCGUCGCAUUAGCUAGUUGGUGAGGUAACGGCUCACCAAGGCAACGAUGCGUAGCCGAACUGAGAGGGUGAUCGGACACACUGGGACUGAGACACGGCCUAGACGCCUACGGGAGGCAGCAGUAGGGAAUCUUCCGCAAUGGACGAAAGGCUGACGGAGCAACGCCGCGUGAGUGAUGAAGGCUUUCGGGUCGUAAAACUCUGUUGUUAGGGAAGAACAAGUGCUAGUUGAAUAAGCUGGCACCUUGACGGUACCUAACCAGAAAGCCACGGCUAACUACGUGCCAGCCGCCGCAGUAA
rnacentral:rRNA from 1 species